UAUUGGUGUCUGCCACCCCAGUAAUAUAAUUGCUUAGUUUAAAUGAUGCAAUUAAUUGGUAGAUUAAAAGAGCAUAGCUGAUGUAAAAAAAAAUACAAAAUCUGCUCAUCUCUUAACAACAUCAGUUUUCAACAACAUAAUUGUCAGUAUCUUCAUGUUCUCCCAGCUCUGUCAACACUGGGUAAGAAUGGACAAAGCUUCGUUGAUUUUGACCUGAUUAGAAAAUGUGUGGGUGAAACAUGUUCAGAUCAUGUGUGUGCUCAUUCAUGGUCACUCUGCUUAUGUACUUUUUUCAAGUAAAGAAGGCAGUUCAAGGAAAAAAAAUUGAAUCACUAAAAUGCACAAAUAGAGGACAGCUAGAAAGAGCCAAAGAGACUUGGAAAGGCAUCUUGAUCAUCCCCUCUUAAAAGAGUCUUAGGUUGUAGACAGAAAGAAAUACAAACACAGGAAGUCUGUUCCAGAGUUUAUCAUCAAAAAGAAUGAAAAAUGAAGAUGCUCGUUAACUCAUGCAUACAGAAUUAUGAUAGCAAUGGGAUGAAAUAAAUUGAAAGGGGGGUAGACAUGCAGUUACCAAGUUCAGAUGAGCAGUCAGCAUGAACAUUUCAAUAGAAGAUAGAAAGAAAGGCAACAUUGCAGUAGAAUUUAAGAGAUAGAAGACUGUCAGUAAGAGGAGGAGAGCUGUUGAGAUGAAGAGCCUUUGCCUCUACCAUCUAAAGGGGCUGUGUGUGUGGAGCCCCUACACACAUGACAUGCUUACUCCAUAUAAGGGCAGACAAGGCCUUUAUAAUUAUAUGGAUACCAUCUGUGAGGGGGAAAGAGACUGGUGGAUACCAUACAGAAUGCAUAACAUUGAAGCUGAUUUAGCAAGAGAUUAGAAAUGAAGUUUUCAGUCAAGAUUUUGGGUUAACCCUUACAUUACGGCGAUCAUGUAUAUAAGUGCGCUACCACACGCUCCACCUGUACGGGGAUCAUAUAUAUAAUCGUCACACUCUACGCUCCCUACAUUUCAAAUAUACCGCCAGUUCUUGACUCAGAAGAAUGGUGGAGGCAUCUGGCAUCCGUACACUCUCAUUUGUCUCAGCGCGCGGCCCACCGAAGGCCACAGAUCAUUUUCCACUUUUGUUCGGAAUACAUCUGUCAUGUCUCGUGACACAUCAAGCAGUUCCUCUGCUCUGGGCGGAAGUAGAGCGUGGGAGAAUCAAAGUGACAGUGACUCUGAUGACUGCUAUGGUAGUGACAUUGACAGAGGAGGGAGGGGCAAGUAGAGAGAGAGAGAGAGAGAGAGAGAGAGAGAGAGAGAGAGAGAGAGAGAGAGAGAGGUGCUUCCAUGCAACGCGUCACGGCCGCAAGAAAAUGCGCAAUAUUUUCAGCUGUCAUAACUUUUAUUAUUAUUAGGAGAGAAGUUUUAUUACACCACCUUAUAUACUAGACGAAUAUACAAUUAUUGCAAAGAAGAAAGACACCAUUUUCACCUCUUUUAAAUGUCUAAAUUUUCCCCGUGCGCAGCAUCCAGAGAAAUAUAUCGUCACCCGUACUCUACGGGUUAAGGGGGUGCCAGGGGGGGUCCCUCCUGGGCACACAGUAUGUCCUAUGGCUUUGAAAUUUUAGUAUGUUAUUUGUUGGUGUAAAUGUAUGACAUUCUGUGAAUUUCGUGAAAUUUGGGUGAAUGUGUAGGGGAGACUCAAACAAAGCAUAAAAUUUUCUUUUUGUUUCACAGACUAGUUUUUAGUUAAUUGCUUUGAAAAAAAUACCAUAGAAACUUUGUGUAUAUGUCUACAUUUCUCAUUUUGUAAUUUUUUUUUUUUUUUUUUUUUUUUUUUUUUUUUAAAAAUUUUUUUUUUUUUUUUUUUUUUUUUUUUUCACUAAUAAUUUUCUCCACUUUUUCUCCCGUUUUCUUUUUACAUUUUUCAAAAUGUACAAAAUGAGAAAAAUUGCCAUUUAGUUGUAGUUUAUAUGGAUACCUUACAAAAGACUGUCAGAUGUUUUGUCGAUUUUGUGAAAUUUUUGAAGUGUAAAAAAACUAAAUUUUGAGAAUUUGGCUCCUAAAGAUUUUUUUUCCAUUUCAUGUGUCUUGCCAUUUGUAUUCAUUUGAUUGGUAUGAAAUCUUCACAUAUGAUUGUUUAUACCUUGUUCACUUACUGGAGAAGGAUAAGGCAUCUGGUCCCCCUUUAUAAUAAUAAGUAUUAUCACUCAAAUGUGGUGGUGGUGGUGGUGGUGGUGGCGGCGGCGGCGAGGUUGGUGUGAAGAUAGAGUCGUGACGCAUGCUUCUUGCGUUGCUUUCUUGCAUGUUUCCUGGAUCUCCAUUUUGUUCCAGAAGCCUUCUUCAUGUUCAUAAAUCUGCUUAUGGUUGCUUUGCGUUUGUACGUCAUUGUAAAGACAUUUUGGGGUUGUAGCGCAACAAAAAAUUUCAACAUCCUCCCCGGUCAAUGUCUGGGUGAGAACUGAGCAGCAGUGCGCAUUUCACAUUCACCAGCUGUCACGAGUGGAUAGAGGGAUGACAGAUGACAAAAAUUAGAGGGAAAAGACUAUUUCUAAUGUGAAUUUUACGUGUGUACAAGCCCUGAGAAAUACCACAUGUGCUGGCGAGCUAUGACGUAACAGCGCGGGGCAUUUCAAUCUCUUAAAGGGACCCUGUUUUUUAAUAUUCUACGAAAUUUUGCUUCAUUACCAAGUAGUACAUAGCAUCCCCGACAUGCUGAGCGAGAAAAACUAAUUUAGUCAGUUUAAAAGAUAUUCGUCAAAAAAUACUUCCCUGGCAUCCCCCUUAAGGGAAGGCCAAGAAUGUUUGGUGUAGGAGGGGAUAGCUGUGUGUUACUGAUGAAUAAGGGAGAGGUGUUUGGAAGAUUAUGUUUAGUUGUCAGGUGGAGAUUUUGAAUUUUUGAGGUGUUGAAGGACACCAAGCUCCUUCUGGCUCUCUCAGAUAUGAUAGCAAGGUCAGAGGUUAAACAUUCUGUAGCACUCAACUUUUAGUCAUUUAAUUCCUGCUGGGAGUGUCUUGAAGGGUGUACCACCAAAUAAAAAUCAUCUUUAUGUAGACUCCGCUACUGUCACCUUCUUCAGCACUAAACAUCCUCGGUCUAUCCUUAAUUCAAAAUCUCAACUGGAAACUUCAUAUCUCCUCUCUCGCUAAAUCAGCUUCCUCGAGGUUGGGCGUUCUGUAUCGUCUCCGCCAGUUCUCCCCCGCACAGUUGCUAUCCAUAUACAGGGGCCUUGUCCGCCCUCGUAUGGAGUAUGCAUCUCACGUGUGGGGGGGCUCCACCCACACAGCUCUUCUGGACAGAGUGGAGGCUAAGGCUCUUUGUCUCAUCAGCUCUCCUCCUCCUACUGAUAGUCUUCUACCUCUUAAAUUCCGCCGCGAUGUUGCCUCUCUUUCUAUCUUCUAUCAAUAUUUCCACGCUGACUGCUCUUCUGAGCUUGCUAACUGCAUGCCUCCCCCCCUCCCGCGGCCCCGUUGCACACGACUUUCUACUCAUGCUCAUCCCUAUACUGUCCAAACCCCUUAUGCAAGAGUUAACCAGCAUCUUCACUCUUUCAUCCCUCACGCUGGUAAACUCUGGAACAAUCUUCCUUCAUCUGUAUUUCCUCCUGCCUACGACUUGAACUCUUUCAAGAGGAGGGUAUCAGGACACCUCUCCUCCCGAAUCUGACCUUGCUUUUGGCCACCUCUUCUGAUUCUUUUUUUAGGAGCAGCGAUUAGCGGGCUUUUUUUAUUAUUGUUUUUUUUGUGCCCUUGAGCUGCCUCCUUUGUUGUAAAAAAAAUUAAAAAUAAAAAAAAGUUCGUAAAUGUCCAUAUAUGGUUUCCCCGCAUUUAAUGCAUUCCAGACUGAAGUCUACAUAUAGACUCUUGCCAAAUGAAAGAUAUAUAAGAAUCUAUAUAUAAAUGUUUUUCCAUAAUUCUUUCAAUAAAUUAAAUAUAAUUUGCAUGAUGCCCAUGAAUAUGUAUGUAAAGGAGUCAAUCACUCACACCCAUUGCUAUGGCAAUGUCCAGGACUUGUAACCCAGUUGUGGUUUCCCUUCCUUCCUCCAGCUUUCUUCUGCUUGCUUUUAACAUUUUCUGUAUGUAUCUGAAUACAUGUAUUCAUUUCCUUUAGUGAAAGCUGCGUCCUGAGGCAGUAAUGCAUGGAGGAUAACUGACAAAUUGGAGUGGUUCCUGGUUAAAAAUGCCAAAUAACAAAUUAUACAAAUGAUUAUGUAAGAAGAAAGUGUCCAUAUAUAAAUCUUCCCACAAACUAGUGUUGUCUCAUGAGAGCGAACAUCUAUACAUAGAUUUACCAUCAAAUAGUCCCACUUUUGAAGCAUCUUUGUAUGGAUCCUCCACCAAGAAGGGGUCAAAUACGUUGAGUAAUGCAGAACAUAGCCAUCGAAUAGUAGUGGAUAGGACAGUUUGUUUUGGAAAGAUCAUUAAUGAACAAUAAAAAGAGUGUGAGGUAGAACAGAGCCCUGUGGAAUGCCACUGCUUAUAGGUUAAGGGGUAGAAGAGCGAUUAUCUACUGCAGCAGAGAUAGAUCAGCCAGCAAAGAAACUGGAGAUGAAAGUACAGAGAGAGGGUUAGAAUCUGUAGGAGGGUAGUUUAGAAAGCAAAGAUUUGUGCCAGACUCUGUCAAAAGCUAUCAGGAUGCCUAAAGCAAUAAUUAGAGUUUCACCAAAAUGAGAGGAAUCAGUUAGCAAAGCAUAUGUGGAGAAAGGAAUUGCACUACAAUAAAUGUAAAAGGUUAAGUUAGGGGCAUACGCUGUAGCCUUGCACGGCCUCAAUGCUCAUCAGUCUCAUUAACCCUUGAGCCUGUAGUAAGUAAGAACCCAUUACCCCGGGAUACAGGCAGGGCAAAUGUGACAUAUGGGUCACCUCAGUCUACCUCCAACAGGUUUCCCCAGGCACCCAUUUAUCAACCAGCAUGAGAGCAAGGGUGAGCAUUUGGGUGGGCUAUACACAUACUGCCUUUGCAGGGAUUCAAACCUGGGCCCAUGGAUUCGUAACUAGGUAUUGUAAUCACUGCUCCACAGAGACCCAACAGUCAUGCCUCAAUUCUCAUGGUUUGAGUAUUUACAGCAUCACACUUUGGCAGAUUACUCAAGUAAAUUAUAUUGUGUGGAACCACAAAGAAAUCAGAAUGCAGAGUAAAACUUGAGUAACAUAUUCAAUGUUACGGAUGACUGAUGCUAGAUGUCAUCCACAUGUGCAGGAGACACCCGGGCAGAAGGCUGAGUGCUCUUAAGGACUUAAUUAAGCCAGGAUUUACUCUUGGUGGUGCAAUCAAAAUCAUCCGAUCAUCUUGAAUUGUGUCCACUUAAUGGCAUAAUAAUUAAUAUAGUACUUCUGACCAAAAUUCAGCUUUCUACAUUGAAAAAUGAUGACUAUUAAAAGUAUUAUUCUAAAAAUGUUAAAAAUUGCAAUAUUUUGAAGCCUAUCUUCUCAUUACCUAUCAUGUAAUUUGAUUUCAUCUUUCUAGGACAUGUUCUGUGGUCUUGUCCCUUCAAUAUGCUUGGAGGAAUUAAUUCUAAAUUGAUUAGCUGAUUUUUUACAACACUUAUUUUCUCUGACAUAUUUUUUAACUUUCUGAAAUGGAAAAUUGAAUUUCAGGAAAUAUUUUGCAAGCUUACAAUAAAGAUAGGACAAAGUCCUCCAACCAUUAUUUAGGUUAUGGUGUUAUGUGCCCAAAAAUAAAAUUUUCAGUAAAAACUGGGCCCGUAUCCUCACAAGCUAUUAACUUUUACCCUUAAAGUUACUAUCAAAGUUAAUAGUUUCAAUUUAUUAAGAGUAAUAGCUAUCCUCGUCAACUUUGAGUGUAAGUAUUAGCAAAUCCUGGCUACUAUUAUCUUCUUCUUCAUCUUUAUGGCGGGCUCGUUGCUAAGGACGCCUCCGUGCAAAACGUAAACAUCCGACAUGAAUUAAGUAAAUAUUUCAAAAGAAAAAUAAAGAAAACAUGUAUAAAUGUACAACAAAAACAUAAUAAAUGGCAAACACAAGAAAAUACUGAGUUUUGUGGCAGAUAGAAGCAGCCUCAAAGGCUGCUUUUACUUCGUCGCUCGUCAAUACCCUUAUCUCCCCUCCUGCGUCACAACUUGCUCUGCUGAAAUUACAUCUACGACCCGGAGAACCAGCGCAGAAAAGGAGUAAGUUUAAUUGGUCGCCAGAUGAAACGGUCUUCUUACGUCAAAUUCAUGAAAAAAGACGUAUAAUCAGAGGGUGUUAUGGGAAGAGUAUCACCCCUGAGGAUAAGAAGAGAGCGUGGACUGAAGUGGCAGAAGCUGUAACAAGUGCCUUCCCUGGGAGUGGACCCCGUACGCAGGAUGACUGUGAGAGGUGUUGGUACAACGUACAACAAAAAUCAAAGCCUCGCAUUGCCAAGUGCAAGAAUGAGCAGCGGCAGACUGCCCCGCUGCUAUAUUGCUAGAGACCAUCCCAGCACAUUGUUCAUUACUUGUAGAAAAGAUACCAUCAGCUGCUCCGGCAACAGCCACUGCUUCAACAUCUGCUGGCCCUAUGACACCAGCCACUGCUUCAUCAUCUGCUGGCCCAAUGACACCUGCCACUGCUUCAUCAUCUGCUGGCCCAAUGACACCUGCCACUGCAAGGGAUGACGAUGAAGCUGCUCCACCACAGUCACCACCUACUUCAUCGGAGUUAAGAGAUGCCUUUCAUAGGGCAGCAGUAUAAUUUUUUAAUGCUGGAGCUGAAUAUUACUGCCUCAAGGCUAUGAUUUUGUCACUUUUUUUUAUUUUUAUUACUGAGGAGGUUAGGGUGGAAGGGGUGAAAAGAAAUCUCUGCUGUUUUUCGACAGAAAUGGUUAGCAAAUUCAUUCAAAGCACAACAUUUACCAGAAAAAAAAUUGUGUGCCAUUGUGAGUGGGUUCACUUGAGAUUGGGCUCCAAUACACCUCCAUGGUCUAGUGGUCAGCAUGCCUGGCUUCUACACGGGCCCGGGUUCGAAUACCGGCCCGGGCAGUCGGCGUGCAGCUCACCCAGCUGAUCAUCCUCCCUCUUGGGCUAGUCGAUAAAUGGCUACCUGGGGAAACCUGGGGAAACUGUGGUAACCCGGAUGUCACACUGCCCCUGUGUCCCGGGGUAAUGGGCUCCCUCCCACCACAGGCUCAAGGGCCAAUGUUACGGAGAUGAGCACCGAGGCCACGCGCUGCUACAGCGUAUGCCCCAACUUUACCUUUACCUUUAUUGGCUCAACUGACAGAGACAUGGCUUUGUAUGUUGAAGGUCACUGGUUCAAUCCCCACAGCCAGCACUCUCUAACUUGGAUUUUUCUGAGUUCCCUAGAGCCUAGAUUAAUUUCUCGGUGUUUAAUGAGCACAUUUGCACCGGCACCCAGUCAUGGGUGCUACAAGAUACUUUGUUACAAUCAGGGGCAUCAUUUGGACGUCAAAAGUGGGAAGGACAUUA